AGAGAGAAGGAAAGACUCAAAAAAAAAAAAAAAAAAACGCAGAUACAGAGAGAGAAGGAGAGAGUUCCCUUGCCAGACUUAGAGCACCGCCGCAAGCAGAAAGAAAAAUCUAUGGGCAUCACUGCAUCAACACCGUUAGGCUAUAUAUCUGCCACUAUCAGAUUGUCGGAACCGGCUCCGGUACGUUUUUCUCUAUUUUUUUAGAUUUGGGUAUGAAAUAUUACUUUUUAUUGAGUUUUUUCGUUGGAUAGGUUUAGAUUUGAUUUUGGUUUUGAUUCCUUUUUGUUUCGGGCUUUUGGGUCCUCCAUGAAAAUGUUUGUUUUCUCAACUUUUCGAUUUAUUUUGAUAUCACUAAGCCUUUCACUGUUUUCUAAAAUCUGCGUUCGUAGUUUUUUAUUUUUUUUUAUUUUUUGGGGAUUUGAUUUGGAAAACACCUUUUGAUCUGUUUCACAGGGUUAGUAGACACUACACCGGUUUGGUGUUAACUGUUUACUUAACACAGUUUCACAGUUAUAAGAGAUUCAAAAAAAAAAAAACAAUUUGAAAACCCAAACUGAGACAGUCCGUUAAAGAGAAAGGCAUGGAGGGCGAAAUUCUUUUGAGAAAUCUGCUAUCCAACUACUUCAAUUUAGCCUCUGCGUCAACAUGUACAGGCUCUAUUUUUUUGUUGAUUUAUAUUUGGUGUCAAAUAUAAUUUAGGUCUGAAGAGGGCAAAGACAGAGAGAGAGAUAGUGAGUAGGUGCGCAAAAAGAGUUGGAAUUUGUCUAUUUGUCAUGUAAUUACUGCUAUGUUGUUUCUUUGUGUAUUAUUGUUAUUUCCUUUUAUGCAUGUUAUGAUCUCAUGUUGGAUCGAUAAAGAGUUGCAAUUGUCAAUUAACAUCUUCUAUUGCAUUUAUUUUUAAAUGAAUUUCCUUUUUGUUUGUUACUGCCUGAUUAGUGAUUACUAAACCCAAAAAUAAAUAAAUAAAUAAAUAAAUCAGAGAACAGAGUCAGUAUUAGGCAGACUUCCCAAUAAUGACAAUCCUCCCACCAUCAUCAUGUCAGAAUCGCUACCUUUUAGGUCUUUGUGUCUCUCUCACCAAUGGCUGCCAUAUUUUUAAAGAAGAAAAGGAAGAAAAGAGCCUUCAGUUGAGAUGAUGAACCCGUUAAGAAUGAUACACUAUUUAAACAUAGAAGAAAAACACAGAUUGAAAGAGAGAUAAAUCUCAGGGCAGCCACCAUCAUCAUGAAGUUGGAACUGUUACUGGUGAAAAGGCAAAUCCUUGGACACAAUCCAAGUCUGAGUAGAAACAGCACUACCAAGUAUAGUUUCCACUUUAUUUGAACCAUCACCGGUUGAUAUGAAAGGUUUGGAUGGAAUAUUAGGAGCUAGCUAUGUUGGGAUAGAAAACAUUCUAUAAUUAUGAUGCUCCUAAAGCUAAGAAGCCAAUAACCGGGACAUCCAACUAUUUGCAAUGGUGGUGCUGUUGAUGUUGUAGAUAGAGGAAAAAGAAGGUUAUAAGAAGCCUAUAUAUGAGAUAAAGAAAGGGUAUUUCUUUUUCCAUUGUUAAAGCACUCACAUCAAUGAGUGUAUAAUGGAAAAAUGUGUAAAAUUUACACAGUUUUGCACAAAAAUGACCCACAUUAAUCCAUAUAUAACCGUGUAAAUUUAUAGGUUUGCUAUAUAGUGAUCGUGUAAAUUUAAAGCAAACCUUUAAAUUCACACCAAUACUAUUUAUUUUACAUUUAUUUUUUUUUUCUUUACGUAUCUUGAGGAUGAAGGAAGAAAGUAAAUGAUGGUUGUUGUGUAUGAAGAAAGAGAAAUAAUUAAAAAAAUAAAGAAAAUUUGAUAUUUUAAUAAAAUGUAAUGUAACUAGAAAACACAUCAGACUUGAAUGGGGUUGAAUAGAAAGUAUUGACUUUUUAAUUAAAAAAAAAAGAAAAAGAAAAAAGAAAAACAACCCAAAAAAAAAGCCUCUAUAAUAGAAGUUGCUUUGUUAGGAAUACCCCGCGCAUUGCGCGGGUUAAAGGCUAGUAUAUAUAAUAGCAGAAGCUGAGAGAUAGAAAUAGAGAGGAGCAAUGAGGGCACGGAGACUAACAGAAGAAGAGAGAGGCGAUGAAAUCAAAAAGCUUCAAAAAACGAUUUUGCCGACCCAAAACACCUCUGUUUUGUUUACCGCAAAACAAAACCCAAUUCUCUUCUAAAAACUGAAAUUAAAACCCAUAACUCCUCUGUCUUCUCAGAAAGAUUGCUACAUGGAGAAAGGAGAAAGAGAGAUCGACAAAAAAGAGAGACAGAGAAAUAGAGAGGCAGAGAUAGAGAGAAGGGCGCCGCCCAGAUCUCCUGCCAUCACUGUAAGGGCGCCUUCCAUUUUUCCUACUACACAGAGAUGAGAAGGAGACAAACAUUGAGAGGACUACCACUGGUUAAAAAUGGUUAAAAUUAAAUACGAACGAAAGUUCAAUUGAGGAAUUGAGAGAUAUGGAGAUAGAGAGAGACAGAGACAGAUACAGAUACAGAGAAAUAGAUACAGUCCGAACAGAAAGUAGAAAAGGUCAAGAGUAGAAAAGGUCAAGAGAGAAUCAAAAGCAUGUCCAACAAAGGAUGUAAUUUCACCAUGAUUGGUUGGAGAUUUGGAGUUGACGGAAUACCCCUUCACUUUCUUUAAAACAAUCUAUCACUAACACAGGUUGUAUUUCUUCUUCACCUUUCUUAUAUGAGACACUUUGUACUUCUUUCUAUUUGUUUUUAGGACUUCCAUUGCUUCUGUUAAAUACCUCUUCACACUAAUCUUAUUUUAAAAUAAUUUUUUAUGCCAUUUUUUAGUGUAUAUUGCCAUGAACAACAUGAAGAUUAGUUUUCUGGUGCUUAUUAAUUAUAUGUUACUGAAGAUUAGUUUUAAAUAGUGACAUGCAUUGAUCUCACAACUGAUAUGGUUUAUGUAUAUUGUUUAUCUUAAAUUUUUUUUACAAAGAUUGUUUUAUCUUAAUUGAUUGCACCUUGAAUUUUACAUAUGAUGUGAUUGUUAGAUGCAAAGAUUGUUUUAUCUUAAUUGAUUGCACCUUGAAUUUUACAUAUGAUGUGAUUGUUAGAUUACCAAAAUCUUCAAUUUUUUUCAUUUUUUUCUCUUGGAAUAUUUGGAUUCAUUUUUUUAGGGUACUCCAGACUUAUAAUUCAAAGGUUACGAUAUUUAGAUUGUUUUAAUAGUUGGACUUCUAAUUAAUCUCUUAUCCUAUCGUCUUCAAUUAGGUUUGUUGUCAAUUUUGGGAUUUCAUUGAAAUAAGGGAAACAACCUAGAAGAUCAAAUUCUAAUUGAAUUGUUAUUAGGAAUUUUCAUUUUUGGGGUUUUGUUCCUUUGCUUUCAUGAAUUUCAGUUUCAUAUUUUGUUUUGUUCCUGUUUUUCUGGCUUGCUAUCUGGGUCAUUAGAGAAGAAGAAGGGUUAUUAGAUAAGAAGAGAAAGGUAGUGGAACAAACACAGGCCAUGAAGGGAAAAGGUUUUUAUGGUGAUUGUUGGAUGUGCCCAACAACAUGGUUUUUAUGGUAUAACGUGGACUGAUUUUUUAACAACUUAAACCGUUUCACGCCAUUUAAUAAAACUCCUGAAUUGCCACACCCUUAAUCAAACGGCACCCACCUCUAAGAAAAGAUGAAUCCCCUUCAUUCGGUAAAAGAAAAAACGGCAAAAUAAAAUCUCUUCCUCCCAAUUUUCAAUUUGACACCCACUCUGUUUCGCUUCUUUUCUGCAGCACCUACAUCCAAGGUUAGCAUUUUGUUACUUGAUGUGUUAUACUCUUUAUUUUGAUGCUUUCUUCCUGAUUUAUCAUAAUCCAGUUUUUUUUUUGGUGGCAUCAUGGGGUUUAGCUCUUGAAUAUGUGUAGAAAAAAACAUGUUUACCCUUGAAUAAUGGUUGCUGAGCAUCUACUAUCUGAAACUAAAAAGUCUAAAACCCCUUUAAUGAUUGUGCUGUUUUCCGUUUGAUUGUAUAUUUAUUUAAAGGAAUGAAUGAAUAUUUUUUGGCAGUAAAUUAUGUUUUUUUUUUAUUUUUAUUUUUUAUUGAAUUUGAUUAACGCUUUUAUUUAUUUAUUUUAAUUUUGGGUAAAUUAAAUAGCCAACAUAUUGCUUAAAAUUAUGUGGUUGAAUAUUUAGGGAUUAUUUACUAAAGAUUGUUGUGUGGUGUACACAUUAAUGUUUAGAUUAGUUUGUUAAUCUUUAGAAAAAGCUUUUUAUUUAAAAAAAAAAUUUGUUAUGUGUGAUUAAUCUUACAUUUUUUUUUUUGAAUAAAUCCAGAUUAAAACAUUUGCGAAACUUUGCAUACAUCUAUAGUUUCUUUUGUAGUCUCUCUUUCUUCUUAUUCACUGUAUUUAAAAAAAUCCUUCUUUUGCCUGUCCUUUUGUCGAAGCACAGAUUUACACAGUUCUCUACCAGAUACGAUGGUUUGGUAUUUUGCAAGAAGAGAUACCGAAUCAUAUUGAAAGGUUUAGGUUAGCAUGAUUUUCCUUUUGUUUCUAUCUUUUUUUGGGGUUACGUUUUUUUCAUUUGAUGUCUUUGGGUUUGAAUUAGUUUUUUCCCUGCACAAUAUAGUCAGAAUUGUUUUUGAAGUAUUUGGUUUCAAUUAAAUUUUUUUUCUUCAGUAAAUUGACCUGUAAAAGUAUUGUCUGGCUUAUUUUUCUUAAAGUCUGGAACUUCACUUUUUAAUUCCUUUGUACCUUUUCCUUUGUCUUGGUAUUUUAAAAGUUUAUAUGUUUUCAUUAUAGAUAAAAGUCUAUGUUACAAAAAAUAUAUAACGAAAGCAGUUGAUGAAGAAGAAAUUAGUAAGCAUGUAUUUAUAUAUAUUUUUUUGUGUCUUAGUAAAUAGGUAACAUUUGGUCAAUGGGAUUUGGAUCUGAAUUUAACUUGGUAGCUGUUCCUAAUUGGUAGACUCUGUUUUGAAUCCAGAUUGUUCGAUUAAAAUUCCCAAAGGACCAAAAAAAAAUUUUGUUACUUGCCAAAACUUGCAAAUCAUCCAAUCCUAUUUCUUAAGAUAUGUGGAUCAGUUUUGCCAAUUGAAUAGUGGUUAAUAGUAUUACUAUUAUAUUUGUACUCCAAGUGAUUUUACUGACAAUGUAGUACCACCUUAGUAGCAUAGGUUGCCUGUUCUCCAUGACGCAGGUCACUACCAUCUUAAUUAUUCUUUACAUCUUUUUGCAUAUGUGACCAAAUUUACUUCUACAUUUUUUGUGGAUGGAAUGUGUAUAGGAACUCGGUUUGUAUUUUGUAGAACCUGUUUUACAUUGAUGUUUAUUAGAUUUAUGUAUUUUCAAUAUCUUUUUUUUUCUUUUUAUUUUUUUCACGUGUUUUUGUGGUAGCACAGAAGCAGAUAAGAUCAUUGGUUGUUGUUCAAGAAGAGUUACUAAAUUAAAUUGAAAGGGAAAGUUUUUCUUAGACAAUCUGACAACAUUCUUAAAUUUCUUGGAUCAAUGGUCUGCAUUUAAGCGAAACUCAAUGAUUUUUUUUAUCCUGUAUUUCUGUUUGUUGUUCUACAUUUUCCUUUGGUGUAGAAUUUUGUGAGACUAUUUACUACUGUAGUUUGAUGCAUUUCAUGGAUUAAUACUACAGGAUUUGAGUAUCAUAAUAUUUUAAUUAUUAAUUAUUGUUUGUGGAAGUCACC